rnacentral:rRNA from 1 species
AGAACUUAGCAGAGAUGCUUUGGUGCCUUCGGGAACUCUGAGACAGGUGCUGCAUGGCUGUCGUCAGCUCGUGUUGUGAAAUGUUGGGUUAAGUCCCGCAACCGAGCGCAACCCUUAUCCUUUGUUGCCAGCGGUCCGGCCGGGAACUCAAAGGAGACUGCCAGUGAUAAACUGGAGGAAGGUGGGGAUGACGUCAAGUCAUCAUGGCCCUUACGAGUAGGGCUACACACGUGCUACAAUGGCGCAUACAAAGAGAAGCGACCUCGCGAGAGCAAGCGGACCUCAUAAAGUGCGUCGUAGUCCGGAUUGGAGUCUGCAACUCGACUCCAUGAAGUCGGAAUCGCUAGUAAUCGUAGAUCAGAAUGCUACGGUGAAUACGUUCCCGGGCCUUGUACACACCGCCCGUCACACCAUGGGAGUGGGUUGCAAAAGAAGUAGGUAGCUUAACUUUCGGGAGGGCGCUUACCACUUUGUGAUUCAUGACUGGGGUGAAGUCGUAACAAGGUAGGCGUAGCGAG